rnacentral:rRNA from 1 species
UACGAAGGGGGCUAGCGUUGCUCGGAAUUAUUGGGCGUAAAGAGCUCGUAGGCGGUUUGUUGCGUCGGCUGUGAAAUCCCGAGGCUCAACCUCGGGUCUGCAGUCGAUACGAGCAAACUAGAGUGUUGCAGGGGGAGACUGGAAUUCCUGGUGUAGCGGUGAAAUGCGCAGAUAUCAGGAGGAACACCGGUGACGAAGGCGGGGUCUCUGGGCAACAACUGACGCUGAGGAGCGAAAGCGUGGGGAGCGAACAGG